UUUGGUGACCCUCCUGUGUGUAGGCCUCCAGAUUUGGAGGUUCUACAGCCAAAUUUUGGGAGGAAGGAAAUGGGAUUUGAAGCGCCGAGAUGAAAGUCAGUUCCAUUUUUGUUUCUCAGAGAAUUUGCAGUUCGUACAGCAUCUUUCGGGAGUUUUGGGGGUUUGCUUUCACUUUUUUUCUUUCCCUUCUGAGGUUUGCUUGUAAAAAUGCACGAGGAAACGAAGUUUGUAAAUUAGAUAGAUGGAAAUAGCAAACAGAGAUAUAGAAGUUGUACGUUGGAGAUGAGUUUGGGAAUCAAAGUUGGUGAAGCCCUCAA